UACGGAGGGUGCAAGCGUUAAUCGGAAUUACUGGGCGUAAAGCGCACGCAGGCGGUCUGUCAAGUCGGAUGUGAAAUCCCCGGGCUCAACCUGGGAACUGCAUCCGAAACUGGGAGGCUUGAGUAUAGGAGAGAAGAGUGGAAUUCCACGUGUAGCGGUGAAAUGCGUAGAGAUCUGGAGGAAUACCGGUGGCGAAGGCGGCCCCCUGGACAAAGACUGACGCUCAGGUGCGAAAGCGUGGGGAGCAAACAGG
rnacentral:misc_RNA from 1 species